rnacentral:rRNA from 1 species
AGAACGAACGCUGGCGGCAUGCCUAACACAUGCAAGUCGAACGUGAUCCAGGCUUCGGCCUGGUGAAAGUGGCAGACGGGUGAGUAACGCGUGGGAACCUGCCCUGUGGUAGGGAAUAACCGUGGGAAACUGCGGCUAAUACCCUAUGAGUCCUUCGGGAGAAAGAUUUAUCGCCAUAGGAGGGGCCCGCGUCGGAUUAGGUAGUUGGUGGGGUAACGGCCUACCAAGCCUUCGAUCCGUAGCUGGUCUGAGAGGAUGAUCAGCCACACUGGGACUGAGAUACGGCCCAGACUCCUACGGGAGGCAGCAGUGGGGAAUAUUGGACAAUGGGGGCAACCCUGAUCCAGCAAUGCCGCGUGGAUGAUGAAGGCCUUCGGGUUGUAAAGUCCUUUCGGCGGGAAGAUGAUGACGGUACCGCAGAAGAAGCCCGGCUAACUUCGUGCCAGCAGCCGC